rnacentral:rRNA from 1 species
UACGUAGGGAGCAAGCGUUGUCCGGAUUCACUGGGUGUAAAGGGUGCGCAGGCGGAUUGGCAAGUCAGAGGUGAAAUCUCACGGCUCAACCGUGAAACUGCCUUUGAUACUGCUGAUCUUGAGUUAGGGAGAGGUUGAUGGAAUUCUAGGUGUAGCGGUGAAAUGCGUAGAUAUCGGGAAGAACACCCGUGGCGAAGGCGGUCUCUGGGACGGUACUGACGCUGGAGACGCGAAAGCGUGGGAGCGA